AGCGAACGCUGGCGGCAGGCCUAACACAUGCAAGUCGAACGGAUCCUUCGGGAUUAGUGGCGGACGGGUGAGUAACACGUGGGAACGUGCCCUUUGGUUCGGAACAACUCAGGGAAACUUGAGCUAAUACCGGAUGUGCCCUUCGGGGGAAAGAUUUAUCGCCAUUGGAGCGGCCCGCGUAGGAUUAGCUAGUUGGUGGGGUAAAGGCCCACCAAGGCUACGAUCCUUAGCUGGUCUGAGAGGAUGAUCAGCCACAUUGGGACUGAGACACGGCCCAAACUCCUACGGGAGGCAGCAGUGGGGAAUCUUGCGCAAUGGGCGAAAGCCUGACGCAGCCAUGCCGCGUGAAUGAUGAAGGUCUUAGGAUUGUAAAAUUCUUUCACCGAGGACGAUAAUGACGGUACUCGGAGAAGAAGCCCCGGCUAACUUCGUGCCAGCCGCCGCAGUAAAAC
rnacentral:rRNA from 1 species